GCCGCCGCCAGCAUCUCCCACCUCGGGAUCCUCCCAUUCCCCACCGCGCCAACCACCAGCCACACCUGGAUCCAAUCCAUCCACUGCAGCCAAUCCAUCGAUCACGUUCCACCCUGCCCGGGGCUCUCCUUGUUCCUCUCGCACCCGAGGAGAGAGCAGACGCAUCGCUCGCGCUCGAAGCCUCAUGCCUCCCCGAUGCCCUUGCCUCGCGCCGGCAAGUGACCUCGCCGGAGUGCCUGCCAGAGUCUCAGUAGCCGCCAUGGACGUCGUCACGCAGACCUGCCUCCGUUCCUGCGACCACGCGCCGGUCAGCAGCAGUAGUUCGAGCAGGCAUGGCCGUCACCGUAGAACUCGAUGCCGAACGCCGCCGUUGAAGUCCUCCGCCAUGGACGCCGUGCCCCAAGGCCGUGCCUCUCCUCCUCCUCACCUUCCCCUCUUUCCGUUUUCCCCUGCCAUGGCCUCUCUCCUCACGAUAUCCCUCUUGUGCUGCACCAGGGAACGCCAUGGCCGCCACACCAUGGAGCCACAUCGACCCGGAUCCGGCUGGAAACAGGACGAGCCCGUGCCUUCCCCGCCUCGGAUCGGGUCGUCCCCGCGCCAAGUCCGUUGCUUCGCCUCCAGCCCUCGUGCACGCGGCUCCACUACUUCGCCUGCGUCCUCGCGUCCUCUGCUUCCCCUGCGUCGCCCCCUGUCUUCUUCCUCGUCCUCAUUCAAGCAGAGAACGAGCUCGCUGCCGCCUCACUCGUUAACUGCUCGCUGACCAUGCUUGGGCCGCAAGCGCGCAAUCCGACCCAGCGCCUCCUCACCUCGCGGCUGGACCGCACCAAGCCAGCCUCCCUGCUGCAAGCCGCUCCACGAGCCCAAGGCCUCGAAGGCCCAUUGUGAGCAGCUCCUCAAUCCGCCCAGAUUCAGCCUGCCUAUGUUUUUUCGUGCCCUGUGAAUUUGUCUAAUUAUCUAGAGACUUCCUGUU